rnacentral:tRNA from 1 species
GGCCUGGUGGCUCAGCUGGUUAGAGCGCCGCCCUGUCACGGCGGAGGGCGUGGGUUCGAACCCCAUCCGGGGCG